rnacentral:tRNA from 1 species
GAGGGUAUAGCUCAAGUGGUAGAGCCCAUGCUUAGCAUACAUGAAGGUCCUGGGUUUGAUCCCCAGUACCUCCU